rnacentral:rRNA from 1 species
CGGAUCCGCGGCCGCUGCAGAGUUUGAUCCUGGCUCAGGACGAACGCUGGCGGCGUGCCUAACACAUGCAAGUCGAGCGGGGAUAUCGAGGAGCAAUCUGAGGUAUCUUAGCGGCGGACGGGUGAGUAACACAUGGGUAACCUGCCCUAAGGAGGGGGAUAACAGUCCGAAAGGAUUGCUAAUACCGCAUAAAGCUAUUGUUCUGCAUGGGAAAAUAGCCAAAGGAGAAAUCCGCCUUAGGAUGGGCCCGCGGCCAUUAGCUAGUUGGUGAGGUAACGGCUCACCAAGGCGACGAUGGGUAGCCGGCCUGAGAGGGUGGCCGGCCACACUGGGACUGAGACACGGCCCAGACUCCUACGGGAGGCAGCAGUGGGGAAUAUUGCGCAAUGGGGGAAACCCUGACGCAGCGACGCCGCGUGAGCAAAGAAAGGCCUUCGGGUUGUAAAGCUCUGUCUUCCCUGAAGAAAAGAUGACGGUAAGGGAGGAGGAAGCCACGGCUAACUACGUGCCAGCAGCCGCGGUAAUACGUAGGUGGCGAGCGUUGUCCGGAAUUAUUUGGGCGUAAAGGGUGCGUAGGCGGCUCUUUAAGUGAGGUGUGAAACCCCUGGGCUCAACUCAGUGGAUGGCAACUUCAAACUGGGGGAGCUAGGCGUGCAAGGUGAGGAAAGCGGAAUUUCCCGUUGAAGCGGUCGAAUAGCGAUGAG